GUAAUAAGUAUCAUUCAUUUAAAAGUAGGUGUAUUUCCUGUAAAAGCUUCUAAAUUUGAAAGGAGAUGAUGGUUUCAGAAUGAAUGAAGUGCUUGUGUCAUUGUUGCCAAAGAUGUUCAUGGAAAUUCCUGAAAGUUUAGGCACAUCUAUAGAGGACUCCUUGCAGGCACCUAUUGACCACUGGAUGGAGCAAUUUUGUGAUCCAGAAGAAGCUUGUAGCUGGUGAUUCCAUUGUGUUCUUGAGAGCUAAGGAUGGUGAUCUGUGUGUUGGGAUACAGAGGGCCAAGAAGGUGGUAGUUGGAGGUGGCGAGGUGUCGGUGUCAUUGGUGGUUGAAGCUGUGAGUUGUGGUGUUAAUGGAAGGCCAUUUGAGGUUGUGUACUAUCCAAGGGGAAGCUCACCUGAGUUUUGUGUUAAGGCCUCAAUUGUGAGAGAUGCAAUGAAAGUGAGGUGGUAUUUUGGGAUGAGGUUCAAGAUGUCCUUUGAGACUGAGGAUUCUUCUAGAAUCAGUUAGUUCAUGGGAACCAUUUCUUCUGUUCAGCUUCUUGAUCCCAUUCAUUGGCCUAAUUCUCCAUGGCGUCUUCUACAGGUACAUCUUUUAAUUGCUAUUGUCAAAUUUCUAAUGAACCUAGAUUUGUUUCUUGGGUUAAUUUUGUCAUGAGAUAUUUCUUUACCUUAUUUAAUCAAAAGUAACUGCAGUGGUAACAACUCUUUUUUGGUUCUUUUUUCUAAUAAUUGCCUUAUUUGUUGUCUGAGUGUAAAUCGGAUAUAAUAAGGUAGACAUCCUCUGCUCAGAAAGUGGGAAGCAGCGAAUAAUUUACAUGUUCCUAAUGAGAGAUAGACUGCCUCAAUCGGAUAUACAUUCGGCGGCGGCAUGUUCGAGAUGAAUGAAGUGAAGGGUGGCAGUCCGUACGGUGCCCGAACUUAUGCUGGUGGUGAUGGAUCAAGACAACCAACUAAACUUGAGUUGGAGCAAGCAUUCCACCAAAGCAAGUAUAUUGCCACCAUCACUAAGAAGCUCAAGAAAGAAUGAAGCUAUCCAUAAAUUAGGAUAUUGAAUUCUGAUGAGUCCACUAGUUACUUAUCAUCUAAUGUAUUCAGAUUGUAUUAUUGCAUGGAAAUAAUUGCUUCUUAUUAUAAAGAAAGCAUUUUGUACUCA